UCAUGAAAAUCACUAGUUUAACUAUUGUUUCUUUAGAAACAAGAUUUAAUUUUUAAAAUUUAAAUUAGAUUCCCUCUAAAGUUGGUUUCACCAUACUAUAUGAGAUAUAAUAUGGUGGACAGGUUAGAAGAUAGAUCUGUGAGAGCUCGAUUAUGGUGUAUCCCAAAAGAGUUUGAAAUGUCACUUUUUCUUUCCAAUGGUUCACAAUGUAAUUAUCAUA
rnacentral:lncRNA from 1 species